rnacentral:rRNA from 1 species
GAUGAACGCUGGCGGCGUGCCUAAUACAUGCAAGUCGAGCGAACAGACGAGGAGCUUGCUCCUCUGACGUUAGCGGCGGACGGGUGAGUAACACGUGGAUAACCUACCUAUAAGACUGGGAUAACUUCGGGAAACCGGAGCUAAUACCGGAUAAUAUAUUGAACCGCAUGGUUCAAUAGUGAAAGACGGUUUUGCUGUCACUUAUAGAUGGAUCCUCGCCGCAUUAGCUAGUUGGUAAGGUAACGGCUUACCAAGGCAACGAUGCGUAGCCGACCUGAGAGGGUGAUCGGCCACCCUGGAACUGAGACACGGUCCAGACUCCUACGGGAGGCAGCAGUAGGGAAUCUUCCGCAAUGGGCGAAAGCCUGACGGAGCAACGCCGCGUGAGUGAUGAAGGUCUUCGGAUCGUAAAACUCUGUUAUUAGGGAAGAACAAAUGUGUAAGUAACUAUGCACGUCUUGACGGUACCUAAUCAGAAAGCCACGGCUAACUACGUG